rnacentral:lncRNA from 1 species
CGUGCUGCUAAGUUUGGGGGGAGGGUGUUGCGGGGGCUUGCUUCGUCCUCUCCAGUUAUCAGCCCCUCAUUCGCUCCAUCACCUAAAGUGUUAAAAAAAAAAAAAAAGGCUCUUGGGUCCCACCGUAAGAGCGCAUAAAGAGAGGAGGUACAAUGACCGUCCUUUGCCAUUGUAGGGCUCCCUAAUUUAUGCGUUUUUAGACCCUUAAGCAUCAUUUUGUGGGCAACCAAACGGGCACUUCCAAAUUAGCUCAAAGUAUCCAAGCCCAGAGAAGAGAGAAAACACACAUACACUGAUAAAUACGCAGAUGCUAACUUGUAAGUAUUCUGUUUUUCCUCUGUGGGGAUGGAAAUUGAACAAGGGAAAGAGGGGGAACAUUUUUAUUUCCUAAAAUGUUUCCUACUGAGUUUGCACUUGUAAAGUUUUUUCUGCUUUCUUUCCCUUUGUGUGUGUUCUUACUCUCUUUCUCUCAGUAAAUAUCUCUGACUUAAGUUUAUUCUCCCAUCACUACCGUGAUCAAAAAGAAGAGAAAGACAAAAUAUCAAAACUUCCAAAUAUUUCUAGUUGUUCGCAACGGGUCUUUUUGUUGUUGUUGGAAAAAUAUAACCUGUUCAAGCGAUAUGAAAAUGGAUGCAGAAAUCAGAAAAGGGUGUGUGGAAUCGAUUUAAGUUUAACCUGACAGUACAUGUCUUGAAGGCAAGAACAGUGUUACAUAUUCCUUUUUCUGUUUGGUUUUAGCCCUUUGGUGGAAAUGUUCUCCAUGGUUUUGUUCUUAGGAUUUUAAUAAUUGUUUUGUUCAACUCAGUAUGGUUUUGCAAAGAAUCUGCCCUUUCUAGGGGGGAAAAAGCCAUAGGUCACCUGUGGGAAGGAAGUGACAGACGAAUGUUAAGAGUAAUGUUUUAAUAUACUGUAAAAAUAAAAUGCAAGGUUACAGGAAUUGUUUACAAACAUCAGUAUUGACUUAGCAAGAUUAAUAUUGCUACAGUUUUAACACGAUGC